CUCUGGUUAGUACUGCUACCUUGGGGAUAGUUGUUAAGCUUAAUAUAAAUAAUCAUAGAUUUAACUUCAUUUUGAUUUGGUCAAGUUGACUGUGUUUAUGUUAUUUUUUAAUGUUUUAUUUGUGUCAAGAACUCUUGUUUGGUUGAGAAAGAACGUGUAAUUUAAUUCUUUUAUUCAGAAUAAAAUCACGUAUAAAACAAUCUUAGAAAUUAAAUUACAAGAUUCCAAUAAACAAGAAGAUGAACCAGAUUUUCGUUCAAGUUGUGAAGAAAGGUGACAAGGAUUUUACGAUCCAGAAUAUUUCUACGGAUAAAAAAAUUUGGUAUUUAUUACCAAAUGAACACAAGGACCUAAAACUCCACACAGUGUUGUCAAGUAAGAAACCUAUAAUUAACGCAACAACCGCAAUUAAAGACAUAAACGGUUAUAGAACUAUAGCUAUUAAAAUGGAUGACGAAAUUCGCAACACAUAUUUUGAUGACUCGAAUAAUGUGUGUUUCAAAGAAUUACCCUUAGAAGAAUAUGUUCCUUUAGCUCCGACGGGGUCUCGGGUUGUUGAACCUUCACAACUAGAAUUAGAAGAUCGAAUUAAACGUUUAGAGCGUCAGCUAAAAUUGAACGCUACUCCUGAUGGCAUAGAAUUGCAACAAAUCGAAAAAAAAUUUGUAUUAGAAAAAUUCGAUAGGAAACAAAACAACCCCACAGAGUGGUUGCAUAGAUUUGAAGAAGAGUGUAACCGAAACCAGAUAAUCACGGAUAGUCUUAAGAUUCAGGCUUUAAAUUUUUAUUUAAUUGGACCAGCAAAAGACUGGUAUGAUACUAUUAUAAGGAAAAUAGGGCUAUUUGCUUCUUGGACAAGUUGGAAGGAUUCUUUUUUAAAUGUUUUUGUUGAUAAGGGUUGGUCCAUCGUUAAAAAGGCUUUUAAUUUUAAAUUUUUAGGCGGGUCUUUAGUUGACUAUGCGCUGGCAAAGGAAAAGCUAUGUCUUGACGUUGAACCUAACGGCAGCGAAAUAUCUCGCAUUAACCUAAUAGUAGUUGGUUUACCUAGUGAGGCUCAAGAGAAGCUUGAUAGGGAACUGAUUACCUCACUCGAUGAACUCUAUACAGAACUCCGAAAAUUGGAAGGCACAUUCCAGAGAAAAAAAACAGAGAACCCUUCCAGACCAAGGUUGAACGAUACGCAUACAGCUAUGUUGAACAAAAGACUUGAGUCCCAGCCGAAAAAUGAAUCCCAACGGAAACCAUGUUCGUUUUGUGCUUCUCUUGGUUUUAAAAAUCGAUACCAUUCGGUAGCUGAAUGCCGUACCAAGCAGUCCACUAACGAAAAACUAAAAACAAAUAUGAUAGAAAAUUCUCCCGACGUGGAAAUACUAAAAAUUGAUCUUGAUAAAAAUUUAAACUAAGUGACCGGGCAAAAUUAAAUCCGUUGAUAAAAUUGAACGUUGUUCUUAACGACGAUUUAAAGGUCAGAGCUAUAUACGAUUCUGGCUCAAACGUUACGCUUAUUAACCAACGAAUUGCUGAUUUGCUAAAGUUGAGAUUGAUAGAAAAUAAGAGUUUAUUAAAAACUAUCAACGGAUGUAAUUUUACUUCAGCCCGGGCUAUAAUAAAACUUCGCAUUGGACACAUUACUGACUACUUAACAACUUAUGUUGUGAAAAACGAUAAUUUCUCAUAUGAUCUGUUACUAGGUAUUGAUGCUAUUAAGACAUUUAAAUUAAUUCAAAAUGAAAAUUUGGAAAUUUUCCAACGCACUAAUAGCAAACAAACCCUUGAUUUUCAGGAAGACCGAGCCCCUAGUGCUCAGACAAUUUCUGCUGAACAAUCAAACUGUGAUUUUAAAGCUGAAUUAGACCACAUUGAUGACAAUGGGCACAAACAAAUGAUUUUGCAUCUUAUUCACAAAUAUAGACAUAUGUUUGCCCAGGAUAAAUUUGAUAUUGGGAAAGUUCGAUCGAAGGAAGCUGAGAUCAAACUGUUAAGAGAUGAAUACGUCACCUCUCGUCCAUAUAAGUGUUCAAUUCCGGACGACAAAGAAAUUAGAACUCAGAUAAAAGCACUCUUGCAAGCCGGAAUCAUUGAAGAGUCAGAUUCUCCA
rnacentral:misc_RNA from 1 species